AGAGCGAACGCUGGCGGCAGGCCUAACACAUGCAAGUCGAGCGCCCCGCAAGGGGAGCGGCAGACGGGAGAGUAACACGUGGGAACGUACCCUUCAGUUCGGAACAACCCAGGGAAACUUGGGCUAAUACCGAAUACGUCCGUAAGGAGAAAGAUUUAUCGCUGAAGGAUCGGCCCGCGUCUGAUUAGCUUGUUGGUGAGGUAAUGGCUCACCAAGGCUACGAUCAGUAGCUGGUCUGAGAGGAUGAUCAGCCUCACUGGGACUGAGACACGGCCCAGACUCCUACGGGAGGCAGCAGUGGGGAAUCUUGCGCAAUGGGCGAAAGCCUGACGCAGCGACGCCGCGUGAGGGAUGACGGCCUUCGGGUUGUAAACCGUCUUCAGCCCUGACGAAGCGAAGUGACGGUAGGGCAGAAGAAGCACCGGCCAACUACGCGCCAGCAGCCGC
rnacentral:rRNA from 1 species